rnacentral:rRNA from 1 species
CCUACGGGAGGCAGCAGUGGGGAAUAUUGCACAAUGGGGGAAACCCUGAUGCAGCGACGCCGCGGGAGUGAAGACGUAAUUCGUUAUGUAAAGCUCUAUCAGCAGGGAAGAAAAUGACGGUACCUGAGUAAGAAGCCCAGGCUAACUACGUGCCAGCAGCCGCGGUAAUACGUAGGGGGCAAGCGUAAUCCGGAUUUACUGGGUGUAAAGGGAGCGUAGACGGUCGUGCAAGUCUGGAGUGAAAGGCGGGGGCUCAACCCCCGGACUGCUCUGGAAACUGUACGGCUUGAGUGCAGGCGAGGUAAGUGGAAUUCCUAGUGUAGCGGUGAAAUGCGUAGAUAUUAGGAGGAACCCCAGUGGCGAAGGCGGCUUACUGGACUGUAACUGACGUUGAGGCUCGAAAGCGUGGGGAGCAAACAGGAUUAGAUACCCCUGUAGUC